rnacentral:lncRNA from 1 species
CGUCAACGUCUCCAGGCAGAAGCCGCCAUUUGUUAUCUCUGAAUGACCAAGAACAGCCAGGCUUCCUGGCCAGCCUGACUUCCUCUGAAGAUGAUGGCGUCAAGGUCUUCAGGUGCGUGUUGCCCUUUUUCAUCUCUGGCCCAGAGCAGCCUGACUUCGUGGGAAGUUGGUGAGCCGAAUUUCAUCAAUGUGGACGAAAGCUGCAUACCUGUGCCAUGGCUAUUGGGAUGGGCUGUCUGCACUGGUCACACUGAACUUGGCGAUAUUGACACUGCUUCACGUGGGAGUCUAGAGAUUUCUGGGGGAGGAUUUCCAUACAUCCAUUGUGCCUGUUUGGGCAUUCAACAGGCUUGAAGCGUGUCAGCUGACUUCGGAAGUAAUGCU